CUCCGGGCCGGGUACACAUAUCCUUGAUCAUAACCAUCAUGAAGGGUCUUUUGAACCGUUCUUCGUCUGACCCUUCGCCCAGAACCAAUCUGCCAUGGGAAACCCUACCAGGGGCAAAAUGCCCCCGACAGCAUAGCUCCUAGGGUCAUUAGGGCACUCAAACUCCUCCACCACGAUAAGGUGACGGUUCUCGGAGGAGUGUUAAAGUGUCAGUUAAGUUGUUAGGUGAGGUGUCAGUUAAAGUGUCAGGUGAAGUGUCAGUUAAAUUGUCAGGUGAGGUGUUAGUUAAAGUGUAAGGUGAAGUGUCAGUUAAAUUGUCAGGUGAAGUGUCAGUUAAGUUGUUAGGUGAGGUGUCAGUUAAAGUGUCAGGUGAAGUGUCAGUUAAGGUGUCAGUUAAGUUGUUAGGUGAGGUGUCAGUUAAAGUGUCAGGUGAAGUGUCAGGUGAAGUGUCAGUUAAGUUGUUAGGUGAGGUGUCAGUUAAAGUGUCAGGUGAAGUGUCAGGUGAGGUGUUAGUUAAAGUGUAAGGUGAAGUGUCAGUUAAAUUGUCAGGUGAAGUGUCAGUUAAGUUGUUAGGUGAGGUGUCAGUUAAAGUGUCAGGUGAAGUGUCAGUUAAAGGGUCAGGUGAAGUGUCAGUUAAAUUGUCAGGUGAAGUGUCAGUUAAGUUGUUAGGUGAGGUGUCAGUUAAAGUGUCAGGUGAAGUGUCAGUUAAAUUGUCAGGCGAGGUGUCAGUUAAAGGGUCAGGUGAAGUGUCAGUUAAAUUGUCAGGUGAAGUGUCAGUUAAGUUGUUAGGUGAGGUGUCAGUUAAAGUGUCAGGUGAAGUGUCAGGUGAGGUGUUAGUUAAAGUGUAAGGUGAGGUGUCAGUUAAAGUGUCAGUUAAAGUGUCAGGUGAAGUGUCAGUUAAGGUGUCAGUUAAAUUGUCAGGUGAAGUGUCAGUGAAAGU